UACGUAGGCAGCGAGCGUUGUUCGGAGUUACUGGGCGUAAAGAGUGCGUAGGCGGUUUUCUAAGUUUGGUGUGAAAUCUCCCGGCUUAACUGGGAGGGUGCGCCGAAGACUGGAAGGCUUGAGUAUGGGAGAGGUAAGCGGAAUUCCUGGUGUAGCGGUGAAAUGCGUAGAUAUCAUCAGGAAUACCGGAGGCGAAGGCGGCUCACUGGGGGUCUUCUGACGCUGAGGAACGAAAGCCAGGGGAGCGAACGGG
rnacentral:rRNA from 1 species